rnacentral:lncRNA from 1 species
AUAUGUAAAUCAACUAGAACGAUGCGUAGAAUCACAUGCUUCACUUGUUUUGCUGUUUAACAAAUAUAAAAUGUGAUUAGGACACAUCUAGACAGAUUUUGAAGUUAACGUGUGGGGUCGUUUCAGAGAUUCUAUAUGUCGUUUUCGGCCCCAUUUAAAAUGGCUAGAUAGGUAGCUUAUUUCCGCUUAACCCCUUGCCAUGUUUAACAACAUUUAAUAUUGCUGUGUAAAUAAUUGGAGUAAAAUAAAUAGCUUAAUGUGCAGUUCCGUCAAUAUGCAACUCGUUGCAUAUUGAGCUUCACUUAAUGUGUAGUGUUUGCGUGAUGUGAAUUACCAUGCCUUGCCUUGCAUAAUUGAAACCGAUCAUGCAUCAUAUGUGUUGUGCAUCCUAUCGUGCAUGUGACGUGGUGAAUAUCGUGUGUUGAUUCUUGUUUCUGGGUUGCUUCAUCAAGAUAGAGUUCCGUAAGCAUGUCGGAAUGUGAGGAUCCGUUCGACUACGUCGAUUCAUCUGCUUCACGGAGUCAUUCUACUUCCAAGCGGGAUCUCACGCAAGAUGACAAUUUCCCUAGAUACCAUUACUAUCAUUGCCAUGCUAGUUGUUCUGUUUCUAUCGCUAUGUCUCGUUGCCUACCACGUGUUAAAUAUCAUCCUCUCAACAUUGCCAUGAAAACCUCAAACCUGUUCACAACCUAGCAAACCACUGAUUGGCUAUGUUACCGCUUGCUUAGCCAUGUGUGAGCGUUGCUAGUUGCAGGUGCAGUUGCUUCCAUGUGAUAACAUGAGAUUCUUCUUAUAUCACCUUAUAAUUGCUAAUUAAUUAAAUGAACCUAUAUACUUGGUAAAAGGUGGAAGGCUCGGCCUUUCUAGCCUGGUGUUUUGUUCCACCUUUGCCCCCUUAGUUUCGGCUACCGAUGUUAUAUUCCAUAAUUGAGCGCUCCUAACAUGAUCGGGUUGUUAUGGGGAACCCCUUGAUAAUUCAUUUUAGAUUAAGACUGGUCUGGGAAGACCCAACUUUGGUACUACAUUUGCGAAAUAUCCUAAUGAAAAUGUAUAGGGACUUGUGGACCCCGUGGAUAAUUAAUCAAUCCCCGGGCUAGUGCUCUGCAUGAGUGUUGGUCCAAACUAGGGGAUGUCCGACGCCCCCUAGUCACCCGGGGUUUCAGCCAACCCGACGUCUUGCCCAUUCGGUCAUGCCCGGAGAACGAGAUAUGCGGCUCCUAUCGGGACUGUCGGCACGCCGGGCGGUCUUGCUGGAUUAGUUUUACCUUUUACGAAUAU